rnacentral:rRNA from 1 species
AUUGAACGCUGGCGGCAUGCCUUACACAUGCAAGUCGAACGGUAACAGGUCUUCGGAUGCUGACGAGUGGCGAACGGGUGAGUAAUACAUCGGAACGUGCCCGAUCGUGGGGGAUAACGGAGCGAAAGCUUUGCUAAUACCGCAUACGAUCUACGGAUGAAAGCAGGGGACCGCAAGGCCUUGCGCGGACGGAGCGGCCGAUGGCAGAUUAGGUAGUUGGUGGGAUAAAAGCUUACCAAGCCGACGAUCUGUAGCUGGUCUGAGAGGACGACCAGCCACACUGGGACUGAGACACGGCCCAGACUCCUACGGGAGGCAGCAGUGGGGAAUUUUGGACAAUGGGCGAAAGCCUGAUCCAGCCAUGCCGCGUGCAGGAUGAAGGCCUUCGGGUUGUAAACUGCUUUUGUACGGAACGAAAAGACUCUUUCUAAUAAAGAGGGUCCAUGACGGUACCGUAAGAAUAAGCACCGGCUAACUACGUGC